UGGGGAAUAUUGGACAAUGGGCGAAAGCCUGAUCCAGCAAUGCCGCGUGAGUGAAGAAGGCCUUCGGGUUGUAAAGCUCUUUUACCCGGGAAGAUAAUGACUGUACCGGGAGAAUAAGCCCCGGCUAACUCCGUGCCAGCAGCCGCGGUAAUACGGAGGGGGCUAGCGUUGUUCGGAAUUACUGGGCGUAAAGCGCACGUAGGCGGUCUUUUAAGUCAGAGGUGAAAGCCCGGGGCUCAACUCCGGAAUUGCCUUUGAAACUGGGAGACUUGAACACGGGAGAGGUGAGUGGAAUUCCGAGUGUAGAGGUGAAAUUCGUAGAUAUUCGGAGGAACACCAGUGGCGAAGGCGGCUCACUGGACCGUUGUUGACGCUGAGGUGCGAAAGCGUGGGGAGCAAA
rnacentral:rRNA from 1 species